rnacentral:lncRNA from 1 species
AGUCAUAUGAGAUUUUAGGAUAUCAAAAUAAUUUGUUAAAGCAUUGCCAUUUGCCAACACGGCUUAUUUGUUAUCUUUUUCUUAUUUCUUGUUCAUUUUCUCAAGAUUUUGGUGCUCCGUUUGACCAACCCUUGGAGAGGAAUGAAGGAGCCGGAGAUCAAAUUGUUUGGCCGCAAGAUCGUCUUACCGGACAAAGGCGGAGCUGUCGCCGCCGGCGAGUUUUCCGGCCGGAGCAGCUGCGUAAGCGACGGCGACGACCGCUGCUUGGAAGCCAGUGGAGAAAAAGGAGAGGCUCAUCAUGAAAUCCAACUUCAUGCUCUCGAGGAGGUAAUCAAUGGGCGUCGGAUUUCAUUUCACACACAACACACACUCACCCAAAGUAAUCG